AAAUUGAAGAGUUUGAUCAUGGCUCAGAUUGAACGCUGGCGGCAGGCCUAACACAUGCAAGUCGAACGGUAACAGGAAAAAGCUUGCUUUUUCGCUGACGAGUGGCGGACGGGUGAGUAAUGUCUGGGAAACUGCCUGAUGGAGGGGGAUAACUACUGGAAACGGUAGCUAAUACCGCAUAACGUCGCAAGACCAAAGAGGGGGACCUUCGGGCCUCUUGCC
rnacentral:rRNA from 1 species